GGAAGUGGAGAAGAAUGGAGAGAAGAGAGUGUAGUUGCGAGAAUAGGGUUUUGGAGAAAGAGAAAGUCUCUCUUCUUACUUCUUUAGGAUCCUAGGUACAAACUACUUAUAGACAUUACAAAAUGAAUAAACUAUACAACAACACAAGAUAUUUUCGGCACAACUUGCCAAGUGAAAGUGACAUCUCCUAUUCUUAACAAAACAUGUGACCUUUGACUUGAAAAUGCUCCAACGGUCACAAGCAAGGAGCUUCAGCUUCUAGAGACUUCUUUGGUGCGAGUAUAAG
rnacentral:lncRNA from 1 species